rnacentral:rRNA from 1 species
CCGAAGAUUUCCGAAUGAGGAAACUCACUUAGAGUAAUGUCUAAGUAUCAUUAAGUGAAUACAUAGCUUAAUGAGGGGAACUCAGGGAACUGAAACAUCUAAGUACCUGAAGGAAGAGAAAGAAAUUCGAUUCCGUAAGUAGCGGCGAGCGAACGCGGAUUAGCCCAAACCAAUAAAGUUUUCUUUAUUGGGGUUGCGGACAUAUCAUAACGAAGAGGUAUCGUA